rnacentral:rRNA from 1 species
AACGAACGCUGGCGGCAGGCUUAACACAUGCAAGUCGAGCGCCCCGCAAGGGGAGCGGCAGACGGGUGAGUAACACGUGGGAAUCUACCCAUCCCUACGGAACAACUCCGGGAAACUGGAGCUAAUACCGUAUACGCCCUUUGGGGGAAAGAUUUAUCGGGGAUGGAUGAGCCCGCGUUGGAUUAGCUAGUUGGUGGGGUAAAGGCCUACCAAGGCGACGAUCCAUAGCUGGUCUGAGAGGAUGAUCAGCCACAUUGGGACUGAGACACGGCCCAAACUCCUACGGGAGGCAGCAGUGGGGAAUAUUGGACAAUGGGCGCAAGCCUGAUCCAGCCAUGCCGCGUGAAUGAUGAAGGCCUUAGGGUUGUAAAGUUCUUUCACCGAUGAAGAUAAUGACGGUAGUCGGAGAAGAAGCCCCGGCUAACUUCGUGCCAGCCGCCGCUGUAACAC